AGCGAACGCUGGCGGCAGGCUUAACACAUGCAAGUCGAACGCCCGUAGCAAUACGGGAGUGGCAGACGGGUGAGUAACGCGUGGGAACAUGCCCUUUGGUUCGGAAUAACUCAGGGAAACUUGAGCUAAUACCGGAUAAGCCCGAGAGGGGAAAGAUUUAUCGCCGAAGGAUUGGCCCACGUCCGAUUAGCUGGUUGGUGAGGUAAUGGCUCACCAAGGCGACGAUCGGUAGCUGGUCUGAGAGGAUGAUACGCCACACUGGGACUGAGACACGGCCCAGACUCCUCCGGGAGGCAGCAGUGGGGAAUAUUGGACAAUGGGGGCAACCCUGAUCCAGCCAUGCCGCGUGAGUGAUGAAGGCCCUAGGGUUGUAAAGCUCUUUCGGCGGGGACCAUAAUAACGGUACCCGCAGAAGAAGCCCCGGCUAACUUCGUGCCAGCCGCCGCAGUAA
rnacentral:rRNA from 1 species